AGAAUCAACGCUGGCGGCGUGCCUAACACAUGCAAGUCGAACGAGAAAGUGGAGGCAAUCCGAUGGAGUAAAGUGGCGACCGGGUGAGUAACACGUGACUACCUACCCUUGAGUGGGGGAUAACCUCGGGAAACCGAGGCUAAUACCGCAUAAUAUCGAAAGAUCAAAGGAGUAAUCCGCUUUUGGAGGGGUCGCGGCUGAUUAGCUAGUUGGUAGGGUAAUGGCCUACCAAGGCGAAGAUCGGUA
rnacentral:rRNA from 1 species